UACGUAGGGUGCGAGCGUUGUCCGGAAUUAUUGGGCGUAAAGAGCUCGUAGGCGGUUUGUCGCGUCGGCCGUGAAAACUUGGGGCUUAACCCCGAGCCUGCGGUCGAUACGGGCAGACUUGAGUUCGGCAGGGGAGACUGGAAUUCCUGGUGUAGCGGUGAAAUGCGUAGAUAUCGGAAGGAACAUCAGUGGCGAAAGCGACUUCCUGGACCAGUACCGACGUUCAGGCACGAAAGCGUGGGGAGCAAACAGG
rnacentral:rRNA from 1 species